CCCAGACUCCUACGGGAGGCAGCAGUGGGGAAUAUUGCACAAUGGGGGAAACCCUGAUGCAGCGACGCCGCGUGAGUGAAGAAGUAAUUCGUUAUGUAAAGCUCUAUCAGCAGGGAAGAAGAUGACGGUACCUGACCAAGAAGCCCCGGCUAACUACGUGCCAGCAGCCGCGGUAAUACGUAGGGGGCAAGCGUUAUCCGGAUUUACUGGGUGUAAAGGGAGCGUAGACGGCGAUGCAAGUCUGAAGUGAAAGGCGGGGGCCCAACCCCCGGACUGCUCUGGAAACUGUAUGACUUGAGUGCAGGAGAGGUAAGCGGAAUUCCUAGCGUAGCGGUGAAAUGCGUAGAUAUUAGGAGGAACACCAGUGGCGAAGGCGGCUUACUGGACUGUAACUGACGUUGAGGCUCGAAAGCGUGGGGAGCAAACAGGAUUAGAUACCCCAGUAAUG
rnacentral:rRNA from 1 species